rnacentral:misc_RNA from 1 species
CAGAGUUGCAAAACUCCAGACCACUGUGAACCUACCCCCAAUCGUUGCUUCGGCGGGCGGCUCCGGUACCUACCCGGGGCCAUUCCGGCCCGUACGGGCGCCCGCCGGAGGUAUAUAACCAUUGACCUUCCGCAUGGCCUCUCUGAGUCUGCAGUACCUGAAUAAGUCA